GCAUACCAGAGAAAAGCUCAUCCAGAUCCUAGACUUUCUAGUACAUGAGUAGGCAUGUAAUUUCAGGGAAAAAAACAUGAGUCUAGCAAUAGCACUCCCUUUGAUAGCUGAAAUGCAAUUCGAACGGUGAGAGAGAAGAGGAAUCUCGCGUCAGAAGCCGUUAGAAAUGUAAGAGGAGGAAUUGGGGAAUGCGUGGUUGAGGGUUUGAGCCUCACUCGCCUGAACUUGGACUGAGUUGGGGCUUGGUUCGAACAGGAAUGAUGGUUGAACAUGGAGCCAUUUUUGAGCUCUUGAGAGAAAAAGGCUCCGUCUGUUUGUUUUGUACUUGUGGGUUCAUUUAGUAGAGAAUGGGUUGUCGGGGCAUCUAGGCGGGUUUUGGGCGAUUUAGGGUGAGCAUUUGG
rnacentral:lncRNA from 1 species